GCCUCCAUAGCUCAGUCUGGUCCAGAGCCACCGACUUUUAAUCGGAGGGUCGCAGGUUCAAAUCCUGCUGGGGGUACCA
rnacentral:tRNA from 12 species